GUGCCCUCUUAAGGCUGCCGCAGUGCUUUAAGAGGCUAACACAGAAGGGUAAAGUAAGUCUCCAUAAAACCCAGAGAAGAGAUGAUCAGCUCUUCUUUGGAUCCUGUCUGGAGUCACAACU
rnacentral:snoRNA from 1 species